rnacentral:rRNA from 1 species
AGCCGCCGCGGUAAUACGUAGGUGGCAAGCGUUGUCCGGAUUUAUUGGGUUUAAAGGGUGCGUAGGCGGCCCUGUAAGUCAGUGCUGAAAUAUCCCAGCUUAACUGGGAGGGUGGCAUUGAUACUGCGGGGCUAGAGUACAGAUGAGGUAGGCGGAAUUGACGGUGUAGCGGUGAAAUGCUUAGAUAUCGUCAAGAACACCUAUAGCGAAGGCAGCUUACUAGGCUGUAACUGACGCUGAGGCACGAAAGUGUGGGGAUCAAACAGG